rnacentral:rRNA from 1 species
CGUAGGGUGCAAGCGUUGUCCGGAAUUAUUGGGCGUAAAGAGCUCGUAGGCGGUCUGUCGCGUCGGCUGUGAAAACUCGGGGCUCAACCCCGAGCCUGCAGUCGAUACGGGCAGACUAGAGUGCGGUAGGGGAGACUGGAAUUCCUGGUGUAGCGGUGAAAUGCGCAGAUAUCAGGAGGAACACCGGUGGCGAAGGCGGGUCUCUGGGCCGUAACUGACGCUGAGGAGCGAAAGCGUGGGGAGCAAACAGGAUUAGAUACCCUGGUAGUCCACGCCGUAAACGGUGGGUGCUAGGUGUAGGCGGUAUUCCACGCCGUCUGUGCCGCAGCUAACGCAUUAAGCACCCCGCCUGGGGAGUACGGCCGCAAGGCUA